UACGUAGGGGGCAAGCGUUAUCCGGAUUUACUGGGUGUAAAGGGAGCGUAGACGGCGAUGCAAGUCUGAAGUGAAAGGCGGGGGCCCAACCCCCGGGCUGCUUUGGAAACUGUAUGGCUGGAGUGCAGGAGAGGCAAGUGGAAUUCCUAGUGUAGCGGUGAAAUGCGUAGAUAUUAGGAGGAACACCAGUGGCGAAGGCGGCUUACUGGACUGUAACUGACGUUGAGGCUCGAAAGCGUGGGGAGCAAACAGG
rnacentral:rRNA from 1 species